rnacentral:rRNA from 1 species
AUACCGUGAAACUGCGAAUGGCUCAUUAAAUCAGUUAUCGUUUAUUUGAUAGUACCUUACUACUUGGAUAACCGUGGUAAUUCUAGAGCUAAUACAUGCUGAAAACCCCAACUUCGGGAGGGGUGUAUUUAUUAGAUAAAAAACCAACGCCCUUCGGGGCUUCUUGGUGAUUCAUGAUAACUUUACGGAUCGCAUGGCCUUGCGCCGGCGACGGUUCAUUCAAAUUUCUGCCCUAUCAACUUUCGAUGGUAAGGUAUUGGCUUACCAUGGUUUCAACGGGUAACGGGGAAUUAGGGUUCGAUUCCGGAGAGGGAGCCUGAGAAACGGCUACCACAUCCAAGGAAGGCAGCAGGCGCGCAAAUUCCCCAAUCCUGACACAGGGAGGUAGUGCCAAUAAAUACUGAUACAGGGCUCUUUUGGGUCUUGUAAUUGGAAUGAGUACAAUUUAAACCUCUUAACGAGGAACAAUUGGAGGGCAAGUCUGGUGCCAGCAGCCGCGGUAAUUCCAGCUCCAAUAGCGUAUAUUAAAGUUGUUGCAGUUAAAAAGCUCGUAGUUGAACCUUGGGUCUGGCUGGCGGGUCCGCCUCACCGCGUGUACUUGUCCGGCCGGGCCUUCCUUCUGGAGAACCUCAUGCCCUUCACUGGGCGUGUUGGGGACCAGGACUUUUACUUUGAAAAAAUUAGAGUGUUCAAAGCAGGCCUUUGCUCGAAUACGUUAGCAUGGAAUAAUAAAAUAGGAGGUGCGGUCCUAUUUUGUUGGUUUCUAGGACCGCCGUAAUGAUUAAUAGGGACAGUCGGGGGCAUCAGUAUUCAAUUGUCAGAGGUGAAAUUCUUGGAUUUAUUGAAGACUAACUACUGCGAAAGCAUUUGCCAAGGAUGUUUUCAUUAAUCAGUGAACGAAAGUUAGGGGAUCGAAGACGAUCAGAUACCGUCGUAGUCUUAACCGUAAACUAUGCCGACUAGGGAUCGGGCGAUGUUCUUUUUCUGACUCGCUCGGCACCUUACGAGAAAUCAAAGUUUUUGGGUCUGGGG